rnacentral:rRNA from 1 species
UACGUAGGGUGCGAGCGUUGUCCGGAAUUACUGGGCGUAAAGAGUUCGUAGGCGGUUUGUCGCGUCGUUCGUGAAAAACUUGGGGCUUAACUCCAAGCGUGCGGGCGAUACGGGCAGACUUGAGUACUACAGGGGAGACUGGAAUUCCUGGUGUAGCGGUGAAAUGCGCAGAUAUCAGGAGGAACACCGGUGGCGAAGGCGGGUCUCUGGGUAGUAACUGACGCUGAGGAACGAAAGCGUGGGUAGCGAACAGG